UCACCGGGAUUGCAUCUUUCGA
rnacentral:miRNA from 1 species